rnacentral:rRNA from 1 species
UGUGAGAGCGGUGCUAGAAGCCGUGGUAAUUAGGAGGAUCGGAGGGUUAUUCGAUGUUAUUUGUUGGAAAGGGUGCGUAGAGGGGUAGAGAAGUCAGCGGUGAAAGGUUGCAGCUUAACUGUAAAAAUGCGGUUGAAACUGUCGGACUUGAGUGGAAAUGAGGUAGGCGGAAUGCGGGGUGUAGCGGUGAAAUGCAUAGAUAUCACGCAGAACUCCGAUUGCGAAGGCAGCUUACUAAGCUACAACUGACACUGAAGCACGAAAGCGUGGGGAUCAAACAGGAUUAGAUCCCCAGUAGUC